rnacentral:rRNA from 1 species
GACGUAGGGUGCAAGCGUUGUCCGGAUUUACUGGGCGUAAAGAGCGCGUAGGCGGUCUGUUAAGUGUAGAGUGAAAUCUCCAGGGCUCAACCCGGAAACUGCUCUGCAUACUGGCAGACUUGAGGGACUGAGAGGUGAAUGGAAUUCCUGGUGUAGCGGUGAAAUGCGUAGAUAUCGGAAGGAACACCAGUGGCGAAAGCGACUUCCUGGUCCAGCAUCGACGUUCAGGCACGAAAGCGUGGGGAGCAAACAGG